rnacentral:rRNA from 12 species
CACCGCGGUUAUACGAGAGGCUCAAGCUGACAGACCCUCGGCGUAAAGGGUGGUUAAAAUUACACUAGUACUAAGGCCGAAUGCAAUCAAAACUGUUAUACGUAAUCGAGUGCUAGAAGACCCAUCACGAAAGUAGCCUUAUCUAAUUGAACCCACGAAAGCUAGGGUA